rnacentral:rRNA from 1 species
CGCGGCCUAUCAGCUUGUUGGUGAGGUAAUGGCUUACCAAGGCGACGACGGGUAGCCGGCCUGAGAGGGCGACCGGCCACACUGGGACUGAGACACGGCCCAGACUCCUACGGGAGGCAGCAGUGGGGAAUAUUGCACAAUGGGGGAAACCCUGAUGCAGCGACGCCGCGUGAGGGAUGACGGCCUUCGGGUUGUAAACCUCUUUCGGCAGGGACGAAGCGCAAGUGACGGUACCUGCAGAAGAAGCACCGGCUAACUACGUGCCAGCAGCCGCGGUAAUACGUAGGGUGCGAGCGUUGUCCGGAGUUAUUGGGCGUAAAGAGCUCGUAGGCGGUCUGUCGCGUCUGCUGUGAAAACUCAGGGCUUAACCCUGAGCUUGCAGUGGGUACGGGCAGACUAGAGUGCGGUAGGGGAGACUGGAAUUCCUGGUGUAGCGGUGAAAUGCGCAGAUAUCAGGAGGAACACCGGUGGCGAAGGCGGGUCUCUGGGCCGUAACUGACGCUGAGGAGCGAAAGCAUGGGGAGUGAACAGGAUUAGAUACCCUGGUAGUCCAUGCCGUAAACGUUGGGCGCUAGGUGUGGGGACCUUUCCAUGGUUUCCGUGCCGCAGCUAACGCAUUAAGCGCCCCGCCUGGGGAGUACGG